rnacentral:rRNA from 1 species
GACGAACGCUGGCGGCGUGCUUAACACAUGCAAGUCGAACGGAAAGGCCCUGCUUUUGGGGGGUGCUCGAGUGGCGAACGGGUGAGUAACACGUGAGUAACCUGCCCUUGACUUUGGGAUAACUUCAUGAAACUGGGGCUAAUACCGGAUAGGAGCUCCUGCUUCAUGGUGGGGGUGGGAAAGUUUAGGCGGUUGGGGGUGGACUCGCGGCUUAUUAGCUUGUUGGUGGGGUAGUGGCUUACCAAGGCUUUGACGGGUAGCCGGCCUGAGAGGGUGACCGGCCCAGCUGCGCCUGAGAUACGGCACAGACUACUACGGGAGGCAGGAGAGCGGAAUAUUGUACAAUGGGCGGAAGCCUGAUGCAGCAACGCAGCGCGCGGGAUGACGGCCUUCGGGUUGUAAACCGCUUUCGCCUGUGCCGAAGCGUGAGUGACGGUAAUGGGUAAAGAAGCACCGGCUAACUACGUG